rnacentral:lncRNA from 1 species
GACCGGCCAAAUAAAUAUAUAGAACAGCAGAAGCUUGUCUACCCAAUCCACAAGCACACCGACUAGGGGUUUACCCCAUUAAGUUCUAGUCCUAGAAGAAACAGUCGAUUACCCACAUCACUCAAAGACUAAGUCUAAAACCUGCAAGCAAAAGAUUAAUUCAAUAGCAAGAGUCAGUACAUUAUUAGAAAUAAUGUACUGGCAAGCACCAACACAAGCCUAACACCCUACUUGCAAGGCAUAUAAUCAAGGAAGGCAUAAUAUGGUUCUUUUUAGCAUAAAGCAAGUUUUAUUUGCAUAAAACGUUUCUAAAUCAAUGCGGAGGGGUUAAAAUGGACUUGGGUGUGAAAUGGGCUGUGUUGGCAGAGAGAAGAAUGGCCCAAGUGUAAUAGGAGCUUUUGUAAUUUGCAGGGAUUUGAAUAUAGAGCGGUAUUUGUAUUUGGAGUUGUAUAUUGACAGUGUAUUUACAAAUUGAGCUGUAUAAUUUGGACUGUACAAUGGACUGUAAUGGGACUUUGUAUUUGGGAUGGGACGAUGUGAUUUGGGCAGUGCUUUGGAAAUGGGAUGGUAUAAAUGGGACUUGUGGUCUGGACUGACAUAUGUGCACGAACUGUAAUUGGUCCGUACAUUGGGUUGUGUAUGUGGCAAACUGUAACUUGGACAAUAACUAUAUUUGGGUUGGUAUAGAUCUUCCGAGGAUGCACGAGGGCGGAAUAAAUGGAUUGCAAUAUGAGACUUGUUUGUUUGGAUGGAUGCACCGUGUUGCCAAAUAGGAGUUUAGGCUUAACGCCUGACAAACGAAUGUUGGAAUUAAUGGAUGGGGCUUAGCCCACUCGAAGAUUAAUUCUUUGGAAAAUCAUAAAAGCCCACCUCAUGGGAUGGCAUGCAUGUGGAGUUUAGUACCACCUUGCUUAUUCUAGGAGAGGGGGACCUCCUUAAAAGGGAGGAUGCCCUCCUAGCCACUUGAAACAUGUGUGGUGGAGAGAAGAGGGGGAACACGCGCGCGCUUGCUCGCCUUGCCGGGCAGGCGGCGCGUGUGCACGACGUACGCGUCGAAUGGUCUGCCAAAAAUUAGUCCUCACCUUGCGCAGAUGCAGUCUCCUUUUACAGUUUUGUUUUGCUGCAAAUUCGGAUUCGUUUUUGUUUUGGAAAUGUUCCGAAAAAUCCAGUGCGUGAAAACGGCGUGGAGUCCGGAUAAGUUACGCGCGACUUAUCCGGUUUGGUUACGCGCAGUGGAGAUCGUGCGGGCGCCCUGAUCAAGCGACCCUUCUCUAUAUAAACCGACUCGCCGUCUUCACGCAACACACGAAAAAUCAAUCUAGGGUUUGCCUCCUACUCUGUGCUGCGCCGUCGCUCGUAGAUUACUCCAUCCCGUUCGCCGGCGUGCACCGGCGAUCGGGAGAGCAGGUCUCCGGAACCUAUGCCUUCGACGUCCUGCACCGGGAGAAGGCGGCAAUAAGGUUUUUGGGAAGCGCUUAGCGCGACUGUUCCCUGUUCGUCCGCGACGGCUCGUCUUCCUCUUCGCUCGCGUGCUGCGCGCCUUCGUAAACAUCUGCAAUUGCGAAAAGUUCCUGCCGAGCAGCCGGUCUUUCUACCACCUCGGUACGUGUUCAAUAUGUUGCGCAUAUUUGAUCUUUUCAUGUUUUACUGCUUAGUUUACAUGUGUAGAUCUAAUGAUGCGUUAAUGCUGGUAUACAUCUGCAAUGCUAUGAUUUAUUUAUGGAAUAUAUUAAAUCAUUAUAUGCCUAUAAUCUCAACAACGAAUUCAUCGGUUGUCGUAGGAUUAUUUUGAGAGUGCUCGUACGAACGAAUGACGGAAACGAAGAAGUGAUUUUAGGGACGACGCGUGGCAUACGAAUCCAAUUGUCGCGGUGGGAAUAGAAUCAAAUAUUGAAUCGACGCACGAUAAAUAAAUACGUCGAUCAUUUGUAGAUAUUCGAGGGAAUGAUCGAGUGGAAUUAAUAGAAUGGUUUAAAAUAACCGUAGGGUAAGAAUUGAGAAAGAUAUGUCGCAUUGUGACAUAAAGAAACAUUUUUGAGUUACAUAUUCAGGUCUGUGGUUUGUUUAGUAUCGAAGCACUUAAUAAAUCAGACCGUGAAAAUAAGGGAAUGAAAUGAUGUUGGAUAGAGGGCGUCCCUUUAGGAGAUAAGAUUUAAUCAAGACCUUUGGCACACAACCUAAACACACAUGAAUGAACAAUAAAUCCUAGCAUGCAAAAAGGUUUAAAAAGAUUAUUCUGAAUUUUUAAUUCCGUAUUUUAGAAUCGAAAUUUUCAGGAUGUUACGAACCUACCCCCUUAACAAUAAUCUCGUCCUCGAGAUUAGUAAGGGUCAGAUAAAGGGAGAGAGAUACUGCAGUUCGGGAGUUCUCCUUGCUUCCAUCGGGCUCCUUAGGGCAUGUACAACGGUUUUUAUUGGUGGUCUCUCUCUAUUGCUAUGCAAGUAAAUUUGAUGAUAUGGAAGAAAGAGAAAGGAGUAUGGUUGUUAUGCAUGACAACGGCUCAGAGUCGACUGUUAGCAUUUAUUAGAGCAAAUUUUAUUGCAUGGUGGUGAAAGAAAGGAAAGAAAAGUAAGAAAAAAUAUUUUGAUACAUUAAUGAUUAGAGACCAUAUUAUCUCUAACUGUUGUAGGAUACUAGUCUCUAGAUAAUGUAGAGCUCAUAUCUGACUCUACUUUUAUACAUGCCCUUAUGAGGUGGGAGAUUUUAGAAACAGAUUUAGGAAGAUACUUGAAGAAACAAAGAAGAUAAGGCACGCUGGUUUCCAAAAUGCAUGGCUCAGUGCACAGCUUGGAAUAUCUUGUCUCCUUUUUAGGUGGACGGCUUGCAUGUCUUUUGACAUCCUUUUGUAGGCACGCGUGCCAGGCCACAGCUAUGGCGUGCGACGGUCGGAUGUCGUAGUGGAACCUUGUGUCCUCUGCGGGGUUUAUAGCCGUUUGACCGAGGCAAUCCGCGGGUGGUGAUAAGCAACGGCUUGUUUCAAAAUACACUGAUUUUCGAAAAUAUCUCUUUUCCCUUGUGCACUUAGGUAAUCAUUUUAUUUUGCGGGCGAGCCGCUUUCGAAAAAAAAGGGCGGAGGAGAGGGGGGGGGACUGCUUUGUGUCUUCUCCGUGCGGUUGCCACGUGUCACGCCCAGAAAUUCACUAGUAAUUUUCGAACUUAUUUGUGCAUAAAAUCCCCGUCCAGUAAUCAGCCGAGGUACAUAACUGACAAUUUAAUAUAGAAAUCCAUCAAAAUAACUAAAGCAAUUAAUACUUACUGAAGAGGCACUUAGUCCUCACAACGAAGAAAACUGCAGCGGAAAAAUAAAAUCUAGCGAAGCUCCGGCUCCACCCCCACAGGCAGCUCAACUGGGGUAUAAGUCAAACAUCUUCUCCUUCUGUAUCAUUUUUCUUCAACUGAGGCUGAUUGAUUAUGACAAGAAUGAGCAUAUGACAUACUCAACAUGCCACACAGCAAAUAUACAAGUGCACAAGGAUACCAAAGCAUGGCAUAAUAUAGGCUCAUUUGCAAUAGCAGCAUUUAGCAAAGAUUUAAGAGUAGUGAAACAGUAGAGUAAUUUAAUCAUUAAUUUUAAUCAACUCUGAACAACACGCCCAUGCUGCUCAGGCCCAACCAUUCUGAACAACCAUACCCGGCUAUACAGAUCAAACUCCAAACCAGGAGCUAAAUAAAUUAUUACUAGUUAUAGCAUCCAUAAUUAUUAUGAGAUUAAUCACGAAAAACAUUGCUCAACUUGCCCAUAACCGCGGGCACGGCUAUUCGAAUAGUUUUACUCUAGCUAGAGAUGUACCACUGUACUCACAAGACACAGCUCCACGACAUGUUACCAUGCGCCUCAAUACCACCACGAUAUCUCGGAUAGGAACUGUGACAGUACCCCUUGCACAACACAAUCCACCACAGCGCACCGUCCCUGGAUCAUAAUCAUCCCCUCAAUAACCAGAGGCAUGGACUCCCCAGCGACCCCCACGGACUUCUCGCCGCUUCACAGUCUGGUGCCCCGCAAUGAACCAUGCUAUACAAAAGGUAAAGCCGUUGCCCACGCUGGCUUGUGGUUGGCACGGUUAAUGUCUCACAACAGUAGCUAGCGAAUCGGCCCUUAAUUGUCAUGAGCACAACCUUCAAAACCAUGUGCUCACAACCCACCAUUAUCAAGUUUUAAUUAUCAAUUAAUUAUCAUAACACGAUUAAUCAUCGUGAGCUAGCAUUAAAUAUAACCACAAAUAAUAAUGUAGUAUGAUUCAUCCCAUUAAUGAACUAAUGUUUCUAGGCAUGGCUAAACAAUUAUAUAUAUAGCAUUUAGCUGAACCAAACCAAUAUAUAAGGUUCAAGCUAGGGAUGGCAAUUGUGCCCGUUUGCCCAUUUACCCGCGGGUAAAAACCCUAUUAGGGUUGGGUUUGUUCUCCAUUUUAUACCCAUGGAUAUCUUAUUGGGUCAAAAGCUAUGCCCGAUGGAUAAUGGGCAUGGGUAUGGGUAAUCACUACACAUGCCCGCUUUGCCCGUUUACCCGCGAAAUCUAACUUACAUGUAGGCUAGGAGCAAAAUCCACUAGAAUACAUAAGCCACGUUCUUUGUUUUCUACGGUUUCCCUUUUAUUUCCCUUAUUAUUUCUCUCCUCUUACUCUAUCGCCGCCAGAGGAGAGACACGACACCGAGGCGGAGAAUAUUUGAUGUUUUAAGUUCGAUUCGAACUUAGUAGCUUGUAGACUUUUUGUUCCACUGCUUUUGUUGUGGCGGGUAAACGGGCACGCCCGCGGGCAUAAGGCGCCCGCGGGCAAUGGGCAUGGGCAACCAUUCUUACCCGUCAUGUAGUAAUGGGUAUACCCACGGGCACAAAUAAUCUCACGGGCAUGGGUAUGGGUAGGCACUACCCGUGCCCGUCGCGCCCGAUUGCCAUCCCGAGUUCAAGCUAAUCAAUUUAUUAUCCAAGGUAUCAAGGAAUAGGGCAUUCAAUGCAAAUUGGCCAUAACAAAAGAAUAGGAUAACACCACCCGGUGACAUUCGAAAAUAAAUGCACAGUUGAAAUAAAUAGAGAAUUUAAAUAUAGGAUCAACAUGCUCAAAGGAAUCGUGUUUGGGAUCUGUGUGACUUGCCUUGCAAUAAUCAGUCUUCAAUUAGUCUUCAGAACCACUUCCAACGCACUCGCGAACCUUCGCAACAACAAAAACGACAAGCUAACACGCAAAAUAGAGAAAAAGACUAAUAAAAACCAAAUAAACAGUACAUAAAAAGUAAACAAACAUGUAGAUCAUGAUUUUAGAUGAAUUUAGAGACUUGAACGGCCUCAUUCCGACUUCAUAUGAAUUAGAUAUGAAUUUUACAAGAUUUAAUUCCAAUUAAACCUAUUAAAGAAAAGACUAUUCCAAAUUAAUUAAACCAUUUACAAAUGAUUUAUAACUGAGAGAAAAGAUUAAACAACCUCCAGAAAAGAUUAGAUUAUAUUUGGUAGAUGACAUAUAUUAAAAAGAAAUAAUAUGCCAUUGAAAAGAGAGAACGGAUAGAAGUCUCACCGAACCAAAGCGAUCGGAGAGGAAGGGAUGAUGACAAUGUUCCGACAGCAACACACGGAGAUGACAACGCUAGACCAAUCACGAAUUAGAUUAUAUUGAAUUAAGACCCUAGGGAUAAACUACACCGGUGAACGACAUAGGAGCGGCGGUUACCGGCGAACCACGACACAACAAUGCAAACGGAGGGCACCGGGAGGUAGAGAAGGCGACGGCGAUUCUUACCAACACUUACGACGUGAUGACAGACAGCGACGGAAGACGGCCGACGACGAGAUCGAGAUGGCGGCGAGGUAC